CUUGAUGUGUAGGAUAGGUGGGAGGCUUUGAAGUGUGGACGCCAGUCUGCAUGGAGCCGACCUUGAAAUACCACCCUUUAAUGUUUGAUGUUCUAACGUGGACCCGUGAUCCGGGUUGCGGACAGUGUCUGGUGGGUAGUUUGACUGGGGCGGUCUCCUCCUAAAGAGUAACGGAGGAGCACGAAGGUUGGCUAAUCCUGGUCGGACAUCAGGAGGUUAGUGCAAUGGCAUAAGCCAGCUUGACUGCGAGCGUGACGGCGCGAGCAGGUGCGAAAGCAGGUCAUAGUGAUCCGGUGGUUCUGAAUGGAAGGGCCAUCGCUCAACGGAUAAAAGGUACUCCGGGGAUAACAGGCUGAUACCGCCCAAGAGUUCAUAUCGACGGCGGUGUUUGGCACCUCGAUGUCGGCUCAUCACAUCCUGGGGCUGAAGUAGGUCCCAAGGGUAUGGCUGUUCGCCAUUUAAAGUGGUACGCGAGCUGGGUUUAGAACGUCGUGAGACAGUUCGGUCCCUAUCUGCCGUGGGCGCUGGAGAACUGAGGGGGGCUGCUCCUAGUACGAGAGGACCGGAGUGGACGCAUCACUGGUGUUCGGGUUGUCAUGCCAAUGGCACUGCCCGGUAGCUAAAUGCGGAAGAGAUAAGUGCUGAAAGCAUCUAAGCACGAAACUUGCCCCGA
rnacentral:rRNA from 2 species